rnacentral:tRNA from 1 species
CAGGGAGACAACAAAAUGUUUAAUAUUAUUAUUUUGUCACCUUAGGUCGAUCGGUACCUCACGUUCUUAAUUUAUUAAGAAUUUCAUUUCCUAAGUUUUUCUAGGUCACACCCAUUAUUUUUCCUGGGCCAUUAGCUCAGGUGGUUAGAGCGCACCCCUGAUAAGGGUGAGGUCCCUGGUUCAAGUCCAGGAUGGCCCAUAUCUCUAUGUUGGGGGUAUAGCUCAGUUGGUAGAGCGCCUGCUUUGCAAGCAGGAUGUCAGCGGUUCGAGUCCGCUUACCUCCACUGAUUACCACCUCUUCCAUAAUUUGUAGAAAGGAAAUUUUUUGAGUUUUGAUCAAAUUCUGAACGAAUCUAGCUUCCUAAUGAAAUCAUUAAGAUGCUGGACUCAUUGAAUUAAUUUCAUUGUUUUCAGAGAACCUUGACAACUGCAUAGAUUAUUUUAAAGACAAUAAGCAUCUUUAAUGAUGCAGAUUUAUUAUUUGUGCGAAUGCAUUAAUAACAAUUCUAUUAAGCUGAUGCUUCAAUUUUGAAGUUAUU